rnacentral:rRNA from 1 species
AUGAAAAUCGGGGCCUCUGGCCUUGAAUUGUAGUCUCGAGAGGUAUUGCCAAUGGAGGCGCAGAUGUAAGCUCUUGGAAAAGAGCACCGGCGAGGGUGAGAGUCCCGUUUGUCAUUUGCAGCCCUCUGUGUACGGUAUGCCUUCUAUGAGUCACGUUCCUCGGGAUUGGAGCGCAAAGUGGGUGGUAAAUUUCAUCUAAAGCUAAAUAUAGGUUCGAGACCGAUAGCAAACAAGUACCAUGAGGGAAAGGUGAAAAGGACUUUGAAAAGAGAGUUAAAAGUGCCUGAAAUCGCUGAAGGGGAAGCGAAUGGACCCAGUUUGUCUUGGCGGGAUUUGGCGCAUGCUAUGGUGAUGGCUUCUCACAUCAGCGCAAGCGUUGUGGGGGGUUCUGAGCCUGCCGCGUGUGUUGCUGCCUGCCUUGCGUGUCAACGUCGGUUCAAGGUUGGAGAAGACUCUGGGGAGGUGGUAAUUCGCCCGCGGGUGUUUGAACACUGCCCGGUAGAAUCCAGCUCUGGACUGAAGCUUGCGUUGGGAUGCUCGCUGCGUUCGUCGUUCGUGCCCGCUUGCUUGUCGCGCGUAGCUUCUGUUGCGCCGGCCGGUGAGUGUGGUGUGUGCGUCAGCGUAGUUAGCCCCAUCAAAGACGAUGACGAAAUGGUUUCAUCCGACCCGUCUUGAAAC